rnacentral:tRNA from 1 species
GGGAAGGUGGCUCAGUGGUAGAGUGUGUGCCUUGCAAGCAUGAGACCUUUGGUUCCAUUCCU